UACGUAGGUGGCAAGCGUUGUCCGGAUUUAUUGGGUUUAAAGGGUGCGUAGGCGGUUUUUUAAGUCAGUGCUGAAAUACUCCAGCUUAACUGGAGGGGUGGCAUUGAUACUGGAAGACUUGAGUACAGAUGAGGUAGGCGGAAUUGACGGUGUAGCGGUGAAAUGCAUAGAUAUCGUCAAGAACACCGAUAGCGAAGGCAGCUUACUGGGCUGUAACUGACGCUGAUGCACGAAAGUGUGGGGAGCAAACAGG
rnacentral:rRNA from 1 species